GGCUUAGAAGCAGCCAUGCAUUCAAAGAGUGCGUAACAGCUCACUGGUCGAGUGGGGGCGCGCCGACAAUGCGCGGGGCUCAAGCACGGCGCCGAAGCGGCGGAAUCAUUCAUUCGAUUGGUAGGGGAGCUUUCCAUGCCGGGCGAAGCCGGAGGCGCGAGCCCCGGUGGACGGCAUGGAAGUGAGGAUGCAGGCAUGAGUAGCGAGAGAGCGGCGAGAAACCGCUCCGCCGAAAACCCAAGGUUUCCUGGGCGAGGCUAAUCCCCCCAGGGUCAGCCGGGAGCUAAGGCGAGGCCGCAAGGCGCAGCCGAUGCACGACGGGCAGACAUUCCCGUGCCGGCGCGGGCGCGCUACGACCGAUGGGACGACGGGGAAGGAUACGCGAGCGGGGUUCUGGACGUCCCCGUGAAAGCGCGUAGGGAGGGGCCCAGGGAAAUCCGGUCCCCACACAUCCCGAGACGCGAGACGAGCCCUAUGGCGAAGUCGCGGAUUCCAUGCCUCCUAGAAAAAUCCCUAGGCAGCGCCCACGCCGCCCGUACCAAAACCGACACAGGUGGGUAGGAAGAGCAUUCCGAGGCGAUCGGGGCAACCAUGGUCAAGGAACUCGGCAUAAUCGUCCCGUAACUUAGGGAGAAGGGACGCCCCCCAGCGUGUACCGGCUCGCCCGGGAAGCGCCGGGGGGCCGCAGCGAAAGGGCCCAAGCGACUGUUUACCAAAAACACAGGACUCUGCCAAGCCGCGAGGCGAAGUAUAGGGUCUGACGCCUGCCCGGUGCCGGAAGGUUACGCGGAUGCGUUAGCAGCGAUGCGAGGCGCUGAAGCCAAGCCCCGGUAAACGGCGGCCGUAACUAUAACGGUCCUAAGGUAGCGAAAUUCCUUGUCGGGUAAGUUCCGACCUGCACGAACGGCGCAACGACUUGGGCGCUGUCUCGACCAUGGGCCCGGCGAAAUUGCAUUAUCCGUGAAGAUGCGGAUUCCCCGCGGAAGGACGGAAAGACCCCGUGAACCUUUACUGCAGCUUGGCAUUGGCCGCAGGCGCGGCGCGUAGAGGAUAGGCAGGAGGCUGCGAAGCCCGGGCGCCAGCCCGGGCGGAGCCGACCUUGGAAUACUGCCCCCGUCGCGUCGGCGGCCUAACCCGGGGACGGCCCGGGGACCGUGCCAGGCGGGCAGUUUGACUGGGGCGGUCGCCUCCCAAAGAGUAACGGAGGCGCGCGCAAGGUCCGCUCAGGACGGUCGGCAACCGUCCGCGGAGCGCAAGAGCACAAGCGGGCCUGACUGCGAGGCAGACAAGCCGAGCAGGGACGAAAGUCGGCUCUAGUGAUCCGGCGGCCCCGAGUGGAAGGGCCGUCGCUCAACGGAUAAAAGGUACUCCGGGGAUAACAGGCUGAUCUUGCCCAAGAGUCCACAUCGACGGCAAGGUUUGGCACCUCGAUGUCGGCUCAUCGCAUCCUGGGGCUGGAGUCGGUCCCAAGGGUACGGCUGUUCGCCGUUUAAAGCGGUACGCGAGCUGGGUUCAGAACGUCGUGAGACAGUUCGGUCCCUAUCCUCCGCGGGCGCAGGAGAAUUGAGGAGGGCUGCCCCUAGUACGAGAGGACCGGGGCGGACGGGCCUCUGGUGUCCCGGUUGUCGACCAACGGCACGGCCGGCUAGCCACGCCCGGAACGGAUAACCGCUGAAGGCAUCUAAGCGGGAAGCCGUCUCCGAGAUGAGUUCUCCCUUCGGUAAGCCCCCAUGUAGAACACGUGGUAGAUAGGCCGCAGCUGCAAGCGCCGCGAGGCGUUCAGGCGAGCGGUACUAAUAGGGCGAGCCCUUGCACC
rnacentral:rRNA from 1 species